rnacentral:rRNA from 1 species
UCCUACGGGGAGGCAGCAGCAAGGGAUAUUGCACAAUGGACGGAAGUCUGAUGCAGCGACGCCGCGUGGGCGAAGAAGGUUUUCGGAUCGUAAAGCCCUUUUCUGUGUGACGAGAAAGGACGGUAGCACAGGAAUAAGUGUCGGCUAACUACGUGCCAGCAGCCGCGGUAAUACGUAGGACGCAAACGUUAUCCGGAGUUACUGGGCGUAAAGCGCGCGCAGGCGGUUGGGUAAGUUACCUGUGAAAGUUCCCGGCUAAACCGGGAGAAGCCAGGUGAUACUGCCUAACUAGAGAGAGACAGAGGGAAGUAGAAUUCCGGGUGUAGUGGUGAAAUGCGUAGAUAUCCGGAGGAAUACCAGUGGCGAAGGCGGCUUCCUGGGUCUCAACUGACGCUGAGGCGCGAAAGCGUGGGUAGCGAACGGGAUUAGAAACCCCGGUAGUCCACGCCGUAAACGAUGUACAUUAGACGUUCGCAUGCGUUUAGUAUGUGAGUGUCGAAGCUAAC